UACGGGGGGGGCGAAGCGUUGUUCGGAAUUACUGGGCGUAAAGGGCGCGUAGGCGGUGCGGUAAGUCACCUGUGAAAACCUCUAGGCUCAACCUAGAGCCUGCAGGCGAAACUGCCGUGCUUGAGGGUGGGAGAGGUGCGUGGAAUUCCCGGUGUAGCGGUGAAAUGCGUAGAUAUCUGGAGGAACACCGGUGGCGAAGGCGGCAUCCUGGACCGAUACUGACGCUGAGGAGCGAAAGCCAGGGGAGCAAACGGG
rnacentral:rRNA from 1 species